rnacentral:tRNA from 1 species
GGCCCCAUAGACUAGUGGUUAGGUCACCACCCUUUCAAGGUGGUUGCACGGGUUCGAAUCCCGUUGGGGUCA